CGCGGCCUAUCAGCUUGUUGGUGAGGUAGUGGCUCACCAAGGCGACGACGGGUAGCCGGCCUGAGAGGGCGACCGGCCACACUGGGACUGAGACACGGCCCAGACUCCUACGGGAGGCAGCAGUAGGGAAUAUUGCACAAUGGGCGAAAGCCUGAUGCAGCAACGCCGCGUGCGGGAAGAAGGCCCUAGGGUUGUAAACCGCUUUCAGCAGGGAAGAAAAUGACGGUACCUGCAGAAGAAGGUGCGGCCAACUACGUGCCAGCAGCCGCGGUGACACGUAGGCACCAAGCGUUGUCCGGAUUUAUUGGGCGUAAAGAGCUCGUAGGCGGUUCAGUAAGUCGGGUGUGAAAACUCUGGGCUCAACCCAGAGACGCCACUCGAUACUGCUGUGACUAGAGUGCGGUAGGGGAGCGGGGAAUUCCUAGUGUAGCGGUGAAAUGCGCAGAUAUUAGGAGGAACACCAGUGGCGAAGGCGCCGCUCUGGGCCGUAACUGACGCUGAGGAGCGAAAGCGUGGGUAGCAAACAGGAUUAGAUACCCUGGUAGUCCACGCCGUAAACGUUGGGCACUAGGUGUGGGUCUCAACCAACGAGAUCCGCGCCGUCGCUAACGCAUUAAGUGCCCCGCCUGGGGAGUACGG
rnacentral:rRNA from 1 species